UUUUCUUCUUUCCGUCUGUUUUCUUCUCUCCUUCUCUUCCCAUACGCGUCCAUCGUCCUUCCUUCUUCGCAAACACAUAUGUGAUAGUAACUACGAAGUCUAUCUUACGUACUCCAGGGUCCACGCACACUCGCAAACCUAAGUACGUACCUCUAUCUACGUCCGCGGAUCGAAUUACACCACCGCUAGCCCCUAUGUGGCAACUCUCUUACUUAACCUACCGUCGGGAACAGUAUCGACACAUUUUUCUUUCUCGGGGUGUGCCACAAACGGGGCACCCGCCUUCUCAGCGAAAGUCCACCUAAGAUAAUGUAUGUUAAUAAUAAAGCAAUGUAUAUAUGAUUCUAUCCCUAAGUCGAUGUCGACCAAAAGUGGGAAAAGCCGAAGAACGUGAAGAGAUACCGAACGGAUGGUAGACGGGCGGGGCAAUGGCAAUGGUGGCAAACUCGCGGAGGCACGAAGGAAGAUGAGGUCGGAGGUAAUCUGACACCUGGCCGCAUCGAAGGUAAGUUUAUAAUUACUUGGACGGAUAAUUAAAGCGGUCCCUCGGCACACCCUGGAUACAUUUUGUACCUCUCCGUCGUUGGCAAAGGGUGUAUAAUCGAUACCGACAUCGAGGGUUCUUCGUAACGGGAAACACCAUGCUCAAAACCCAUCCCUUGUGUUACCACGCGUGGAUCAUCCCUUAAAUACCGUACAGAAUGCAUCUUCGUAUAAACAAUCAUAAAGCACUAGAUGCACAUACAUACAUUUAAAUCAGGAAUAUAUAUAUAUAUACACAUAUAUAUAUUUU